CCCUUAGAUGUUCUGGGCAGCACGCGCGCUACAAUGGUCUUCGCAAACGGAUGCAUUCUCGAAGGAGAAUGCCAAUCUUGGAAUCUAUGCCUUGGUCGGGACAGUUGCGUGCAAUUUUUCGACUCGAACCAGGAAUUCCUUGUAAUCGCGAUUCAUCACAUCACGAUGAAUACGUCCCUGCCCUUUGUACACACCGCCCGUCGCUCCUACCGAUCGAAGAGUUAGGUGAAUUGUUUUGAUCGAUAAGAUUUGACUAUGGUCAACUCUCGUUGUGAAAUUCUGUGAACCUGACUGUUUAGAGGAAGGAAAAGUCGUAACA
rnacentral:rRNA from 1 species